AGUGAACGCUGGCGGUAGGCCUAACACAUGCAAGUCGAACGGCAGCACAGUAAGAGCUUGCUCUUACGGGUGGCGAGUGGCGGACGGGUGAGGAAUACAUCGGAAUCUACUUUUUCGUGGGGGAUAACGUAGGGAAACUUACGCUAAUACCGCAUACGACCUACGGGUGAAAGCAGGGGAUCUUCGGACCUUGCGCGGUUGAAUGAGCCGAUGUCGGAUUAGCUAGUUUGCGGGGUAAAGGCCCACCAAGGCGACGAUCCGUAGCUGGUCUGAGAGGAUGAUCAGCCACACUGGAACUGAGACACGGUCCAGACUCCUACGGGAGGCAGCAGUGGGGAAUAUUGGACAAUGGGCGCAAGCCUGAUCCAGCCAUACCGCGUGGGUGAAGAAGGCCUUCGGGUUGUAAAGCCCUUUUGUUGGGAAAGAAAAGCAGCAGGUUAAUACCCCGCUGUUCUGACGGUACCCAAAGAAUAAGCACCGGCUAACUUCGUG
rnacentral:rRNA from 1 species